UACGUAGGGACCGAGCGUUGUCCGGAUUCAUUGGGCGUAAAGAGCUCGUAGGCGGCUUGUCACGUCGGGUGUGAAAGCCCGGGGCUUAACCCCGGGUCUGCAUUCGAUACGGGCAGGCUAGAGUGUGGUAGGGGAGAUCGGAAUUCCUGGUGUAGCGGUGAAAUGCGCAGAUAUCAGGAGGAACACCGGUGGCGAAGGCGGAUCUCUGGGCCAUUACUGACGCUGAGGAGCGAAAGCGUGGGGAGCGAACAGG
rnacentral:rRNA from 1 species